AGAAUUAAAUGGAUGAAAUAUGAAGUUUUAUUAAAAGAAAAAGCGGUGAAAAGAACAAAGUUUUGUCCAUCUUUGUUCAUCAUAGCUGAAAGUUAGAGAAGAGAAAGGAGAGGAGAAAGCUCUUGAGUAUUCGGUCAUUAGGAGGAGGAAAAUUGAAGGAAAUCCCCAACCAUAGUGGGCUUGGAGCUGUGAGGGAAUUCGAAGUGGCCACCCGUUCUGAAAGUUUGAUUUUCUUUUGGUGAACUGGACAUCCUUUUAUUUACGUUUGAAGUUUUGGGUUUUUAAAUGUAAUAAGGCCGCUUAAUUAUUUUUGAUGGUUUUAGUAUGUAUUACUAAGAUAGGUAUUACUUAUUUUAAA